AUUGAACGCUGGCGGCAGGCCUAACACAUGCAAGUCGAGCGAGCGGCGGAAGGGUGAGUAUUUUAUGGUGAUCUGCCCGACACAUGGGGAUAACUACUGGAAACGGUCGCUAAUACCGCAUACUUUCGUUUGGCCCCCUAUGGGAUUAGUUAGUCGGUGGGGUAACGGCUCACCUAGGCGACGGUCUCUAGCUGGUCUGAGAGGAUGAUCAGACACACUGGUACUGAGACAAGGCCCAGACUCCUACGGGAGGCAGCAGUGGGGAAUAUUGCACAAGGGGCGCAAGCCUGAUGCAGCAAUGCCGCGUGUAUGAAGAAGGCCUUAGGGUUGUAAAGUACUUUCAGCGGGGAGGCGUUACCCGCAGAAGAAGCACCGGCUAACUCCGUGCCAGCAGCCGCGGUAAUUC
rnacentral:rRNA from 1 species